rnacentral:rRNA from 1 species
AUGUCCAUCCAUCGGGUUGUCAAAAGAAAAAGAAAAACAUCCAUGCCCAUCUACGCAUAUCUCCACGUCGACGGCGCAGUUUACAGGGACCAACGCGGAUUAGCUGUUGCAGUGUGCCGUGAUGAAGCUGGAGACUAUCUUGGAAGCUCAGCAUUAGUUAUCGAGGACCAACAUGACCCGGCGACGCUAGAGGCUAUUGCUUGCAGAGAAGCAUUAGCCUUGGCUGAAGAUCUUCUUCUCCAAUGUUGUCUCCUUCGACUGCAAACAGGUGGUGAGCGACAUCCGCAAUGGAACUCAGGGCCGUUAUGGCUCGGUUAUCAAAGAAAUCAACCUUCGAGCUGCUAG